AACGAACGCUGGCGGCAGGCUUAACACAUGCAAGUCGAACGCAUCGCAAGAUGAGUGGCAGACGGGUGAGUAACGCGUGGGAACAUACCCUUUUCUACGGAAUAGCUCUGGGAAACUGGAAUUAAUACCGUAUACGCCCUACGGGGGAAAGAUUUAUCGGGGAAGGAUUGGACCGCGUUGGAUUAGCUAGUUGGUGGGGUAAAGGCCUACCAAGGCGACGAUCCAUAGCUGGUCUGAGAGAAUGAGCAGCCACAUUGGGACUGAGACACGGCCCAAACUCCUACGGGAGGCAGCAGUGGGGAAUAUUGGACAAUGGGCGCAAGCCUGAUCCAGCCAUGCCGCGUGAGUGAUGAAGGCCUUAGGGUUGUAAAGCUCUUUCCCCGAUGAAGAUAAUGACGGUAGUCGGAGAAGAAGCCCCGGCUAACUUCGUGCCAGCAGCCGCAGUAAUAC
rnacentral:rRNA from 1 species